GCAUCGAUGAACAACGCAGCGAAAUGCGAUAAGUAGUGUGAAUUGCAUAAUUUUGUGAAUCAUCGAAUCUUUGAACGCAAAUUGCACUCCCUGGUAUUCCGGGGAGUAUGCCUGUUUGAGGGUCGUUAGAAUAAAAAUCGAGGCGUCGCUCUUUUUUUAAGGGUGAUCGCGUCGGAAUUGAGUUGUCUUACCUUCGGUUAAGUGACUUAAAAUUUUGCAUGAUUUUCGAACGUAUUUAAAUUGCUUACGUACGUGAGAUAUCGAAUAUUUUAUUAGGUUCGGUCAUCCUCAUGACUCGCGCCUAUAAUUUUCAUUAAAUGACCUCAAAUCAGGUAAGAAUACCCGCUGAACUUAAGCAUAUCAAUAAGCGGAGGAUGA
rnacentral:rRNA from 1 species